rnacentral:rRNA from 1 species
UACAGAGGUCUCAAGCGUUGUUCGGAUUCAUUGGGCGUAAAGGGUGCGUAGGUGGCGCCGUAAGUCGGGUGUGAAAUUUCGGAGCUUAACUCCGAAACUGCAUUCGAUACUGCCGUGCUUGAGGACUGGAGAGGAGACUGGAAUUUACGGUGUAGCGGUGAAAUGCGUAGAUAUCGUAAGGAAGACCAGUGGCGAAGGCGGGUCUCUGGACAGUUCCUGACGCUGGAGGCAACGAAAGCCGGUGGGGAGCAAAAGGG